rnacentral:lncRNA from 1 species
CAAUCCAUGGUGCUUCCGCACUUGGACAGAUAGGGUGCGCUGCGAGCAUCAUGAUUCGCAAAGGGAGCUCAACGGAUGCCACAUGACAUAUGACAAAAGAUUUUUUAUUUGAUUGUUGGGCUGGGCCUAGGGUAUUGUCAGAGCAUAAUGAUGGACCUCCCUAGUUUGGCCCAUGGUUAGUAUAGGGAGAAGGAUGACAUAGAUCGUAAUUGUGUGAAGCACAUGGUUAAGCGUAUGUAGACCAAGAUAGGAGAAGAAAUAGGACAAUGAAGAUUUCAAUCUAUUGCUUGAUUUCCCAAAUACAAUACUCUUCAUAUAAAUAAUAAUAACAAUAGUAGGUUGGUUUACAUGUGCCCCUCACUAAACUAGUCCGUGAACCAAUAAUGUCAAAUAAAUGAAAGCGUGAAUCAUAAAAAGGAGGAAUGAUAAACCAGCCCUAAUAUGAAUGGCCUAAUAUGAAUUAACAAAAAUAAAAUUGAGUACUUUUCUGUUUCAAAUUAUAAGUCGCUUUAGCAUUUUUUUAAGCACAUAAUUUUUACAAAAUAUAUAUGUCUAGAUACACAGCAAAAGCUACAUAUAUAAAAAAAGGAAAAACGACUUAUAAUUUGGAACGUAGGGAGUAACAUUAAUUAAAAAUGGAAAGGAUCAAAUGAACAAAAGGCAAUUGCAUGAAGCAACGUCAAAGACAUGAGAUUAUAGUCAUCAGGGAACAAGAGCAGCAAGCAUCAGCUCGUGUGUAGCAAAUAGUAAUGAAAGGACAAAAUUGAUAGAAUUAUAAACUUAAAAGGUGUGCCUGUACAAACUAAAGCGACUACGUGAGUGUACUGUAGCUCAUCAAGAACUGGAUAUGCUAGUUCCAGGAUCACGGAAAAGUGUACAUUUUUUCCUAAUAAUAAUAAAUUUAACUACUAGUGCUUCACAACGUACGCGUGUUGGCUUAAGACUAGGACAAUUAUUCUAAAAUAAAUCACCUAUACAUUGGUAUCGUGAGCUAAUCAGCUACUAAUAGUAACAAAAUGGUCUUCUUUCCCGUUGAUGCGGUGGGCCUGACCUGUUGUAGUGCUAAUGUGCUAUACAGUUUUGCUUGCAACUUGGUAUGGAGCGGUUAACAAAGAUAGAAUCAUGUACGAGUACGACAGAGCGGCACGGGAGAUCGAUCGAUGGGGAUAUCAGACCUUGGUGUGCAGGUGAUGGUCGUAGAGCAGCGUCGGCGGCGAGAACACCGUAUAGUUGUUCUCCAGCAGCAGCUGCGACCUGAAGCCGUCCUCGUCGUCGUCCUCGCCAUCGUAGUAGUCCCCGCCGUCCGCCGCCGCCGCCUUAUUAUUGCCAGGCCUGGGGCUUGGGCUUGCGACGAUGGUUUCCGACGACGCGUCCGCGCCCCUGGGGCUCAGCCCCUGGGCGACGCCGCCGGAGUCAAGGUCGUCGGGGCUGUACUUGGAGGGGUCGGCGUGGCGGCCGGUGAGCUCCUGCACGAGGGCGCGGAAACCCGCGGCGCUGGUCUUGACGCGCAUGGGGUUGUCGAUGUAAAGCACCUUGAUCGGCUUCCUGCCGCCGCCGGCGCUCUUGUGCUUCGAAGACGACGCGCCGCCGCUCCCGCUCCGCCGAGCAUUGCCCCUGGGGCUGCGCUCCUGAUCCAUCGCACAGCUCAGCUCGAGAAUCGGCGAUCCCGGAGGAGUGGGAGGAACGGGAGGAAGCGGGCGGCGAGCGGGGGCGUGGGCUACGGCUACCACGACGACGUCUGGCUGGCUCCGGCCAUGUCUGAACAAACGGGUGCUCAGGGACGUACGGCCCGGGGAUUUUUAGCUGGGCGGCGGAGGUGGGCGGCUGGGCGCUGGCGGCGCAGCGUGGCGGAGUAAUGGCCGGGAGGGAGAUGGGGCGGCAGGCAUCACUCGGAAGAGGUGGGGCCUACAUCCUACGUCAGCUGUGGGUCUUGAUGUGACGUCACGGAAAACACCCCAAUGCAUUAGUCACCGCCCGCCGUUGCUUACCCGCUGUCGCUUACCUCCACGCUACGCGGCUGACAGGGAGGGCCCGCGUCCGGCGAACCAGCCAACCAAACCUCGGGGUACACGUUCGCUUCACGUGGGUGGAUGGAUGCAGCGAUUGCCAUGAGCCCAGGAAAAAAUAAUAAUGGAAUAUAUACUCCACGUCCAGGGCCCAGGAUCGGAGACGACGCGUGUCCGGAUCCUACGUGGGCCCCGCCUUGGGAGUGGUGCUUUUUUGUGAAGCGGCCAUGGCGUGGAUUGGAUGAUCACGCGGCCGCUGGCCCCCGAGGUCUCGAUCCCGACGACGCCCACCGGACCACCGGCAUCUCGCCGCUGCUCGCCCGCCGCCGCAUCCUCGCCUCUCAUGCCGAUCCACGGCGGUCCACGCAGGCUCGUGAGCACCGGGUGAAGGUCUCGACGCCGGCGAGCUAUAUGUCGAUCCGGAAGAAGCUCGCGCGCGACGUCGUCGAAGUACGUGGACACCGAAGGCGGUGCUGUCGAUCGAGGAAGCCGAGGGGGGGGGGGGGGGGGGGGGGGGGCGGCUGAUCGAGGGAGCAUCGCCGGAGGAUUACGACACCGACGCCAACGGCAUUAUUGUUGACUGUGGCCGCGCGAAAGUCCCAGCUCCCAACUGGAGCGCAUGCACAAGCACAAGCUGGGCCGGCAUCAUCUUCCAUGGCCGCGCAACGCUGCACCAGGAGUGCAGGACGCUUCAGGACACUGGAACUGGACAUGGAGGACAGCUGCUUCCACUUCCACGGUAGCCAACGGGUACUUUCCUGCUGCACUGCAAGAUUGUAUAUUCUUUCUACUUUCAGCUACAACUUUUCUGCCAAACAAACAAUUAUAUCUAAUAUUAUAUUAUUAACUUUAUGUAUUAUAAUGAAUCACCUCUUGAUUCUUAUGCUUUAAUGGUCUUGUUUUGUUUCAGGUUUUUUAGACGAAGGAAGCUUUAGUAUUAACAAAAACAAUAAAGUUUGAGGAUCCAUUGGAAGGCUUGAGAGGAAAAUAGGUAAUAAAAGGCCAAACUAGAUGAAGCAUGCAUGCAGUCACUUUAUUUUGCAUCUUGGUUCGGUGACAUGGGUUACACGCGAUGUGAUAGGAAAACUAAACCGGCUUAUACAGAAUACAGAAGAGAAAUAGAUAGUAGAAGAACACAAUUUAUCUGAAGACAAGCUAUUGAGUAUCAUGAUCUUGAUUGCUUCUAUAAUCAUUGAAAUUCCAUUAAGAAUCCACUCAUCCUCUCUAUACAAUCAUGUUAUGCAAUCUAUAACUCUUAUAAAGUAAAACUACAUUAUAUAUUUUUCUUGACAUACAAAACGUCCACCUCAGCAGUCAUUUCUCAAUAUCAAUUUCUCUUAAUAAGCAAGGUGUCCACCUCAACAGUCCACUAUCGUUUGCAAUUAAAGUUCACUAGCACAAGAAUUAUGAUAUCCACGUCAGUGAGUCACAUCAUCCAUUAUGGAUACAAUUUCUAUGAUUAUGCUAAUAGAUCUAUACAUGCAUUAUAUUAUAUUAUGUUAUAUUUCUACAUUACCAACACCAUACAUAUAGAUUUCUUCUUUAUACCCAUGAGGCCACGACAAUGCGCAAGAAUUCCUCCUAAUAUAUAAUACAAGCAUACACGAUCGGAGAGAGAAGUGCUUCCUUUUCCCACGAACAUAUUACUAGUGCUCUGUUACCUUCAAGUUGCAAGCGAGUCCAGUUUUUAUCCUUAAACUUGAAACCAAACAAAUUUGGUGCUCUAGCUUAUUGCAUAGGUGGUUUUCUGUUUUCUAUAAAUAAUGAAAGUAUUGUUUUAAUUAUCUCUAAAAAACAUAAGUAGUUUAAAUUAAAUCAGAAAAUUAUCAUACAAGUACAAUUUCUUCUAAAAAUAUCAUAAGCUAAUAAUAUAUAUAUAUAUAGUUAUUUUUGGAACCUGUUUAUUUGUGUUCCUGUUGUUUUAUUGUAUUGUUGGUAGUCAUGUUCAUUAUUUAUUUAAAACAAAUAAGAUCAAAAUAACUAUGUAAAUGACACCAAGAAAUAGAUAAGAUUUUUAGAAGAAAACAAGAACUGGUUUUAAUUUUUUCUGAUUUAAAAUAAAUGAAUUAUCGAUUUUUAGAGAUCAAACCCGACUUUUUUGUUAAUUUUAUAAAAUAGUAAACCGCCUAUGAAACCAGACAGGGGAUCGAACAAAUUUAUCUGGUUUUAAUAAUUAGAGUGUGUGUUCAUUACCUGUUUUCAUAAUUCAAGGUAGAAAAUCGGACUAAUGCGCAACUUAAGUGGAGAAAUGUACUCUAACCUUAAUAUAUUAUGUGGUCCAAUAAUAGCUAAAACAAUGCAUUGCGUGGCCAAUACCUGGCAACAGUUCUUGAACUGUUGAACAUAUGGCAUUAUUGACUCGAUCUGCUGACGUGGGUAUUUUGUCGAAUCCCUCCUGUCAUUAAAGUACCUUGCAAACAUAAAAUGGUAAAAAUAUAUGCAUUGAGACGCAGAUGUAUUAUUUCAUAUUUAUAUCAAACACCCGGCCGAUACAUGCAGGUAAAUGUUACUCAUUGCCAUAAGUAAUGCAUGAGUAGACACUACUUUUGCUCGCUCAAUAUGGACUACUAGUAUCUAUCGGGAUUGGACGGGUCACGGGAUGUUCUGCUUCUGUAAUCUUCAUAUGGAGGAGAAGGGUAGUUGUGUAAGGGGUUUGAUCCGCUGGGCACAGUUCUUUUUCGACCGUCCUCCUGCUCUGAUGCCCUAUUGAACGAUGCAAAUAUUGGACGAUGUUCGAUAAAUUCUAGUUUCAGUUGUCUCUCCAUGUUGCCAUUGGCACUUGCUGGUUUAUUAGCACUGACAAAAGCAACCUCAUCAGUCUGCCACACAUUGGCAUUGACUGAUGUUGAAGCGGCAAGAGCGCAAACUGAGUGACACAAUGGCCACCAUUGCCAUCCUUGAUGGCAUGAGGAAUCUAGACUUUGAAGCUAGUUUUUUUUCAUGUAGUGGUGUAGGUAAAUGUGUGCACGCACCCCACCCCAUAUAUAUACAAAACCACUCAAGAAAGGAAGUAUUCCCUCCAUUUCAAACUAUAAGAUGUUUAGAUACAUUGUUUUUGUUAUGUAUCUAGAUAUAGUAUAUAUCUAAGUGCAUAGUGGAAAUCAUAUAUGUAAAAAACUAAAACGUCUUAUAAUUUGAAAUGGAAAAGGUAAGAAAUUAAGAAUUGUCUUUAAAGUGGAUCAGACGGUCUACCCUGUUUCUAAGGCAGUUUUAAUAAAGUUCCUGAAAUGAAGUAAUGCUAAUGAGGCAUUAUUUGAUGAACUGCUAAAACAAAGUAUGCAAUGAGGCAAUACUAAUGAAUCGUCUAAAAAUAACUAUGGCAAUAUUGAGGAAUCUACUUAACAUUUGCACUAGAAUCUUUUUAUGGCGAGACUAAUGUAUAUAUUAAGGGGUGUUUAGCACUGGUCUGCUCAAUAUUCUUCUCGGAUCCACGUUUUUUAGUCAAAUGUUUUCAACUCCACACACUCAACUUUGAGGAAAAAGGGUGGAGUUGUGAGAGAACCUAAAGAGGUGCUUCGCAAACUCUAGUUUUUUUGUCUUACUAUGAUUUUUUAUAGAUUUAGCCAAAAUAAAUAAAUAAAUAAAUAAAGACAAAAACCGUCUUUAAAAGUACUUAUAACAGGCUCCGGGGGGGUAAGAUUAAUGGUUUUAAAAGUUGAAAGAGAUGUUUUGUCUAAUUUUGGAGUUUAGGGAGAAAAAAAUAGAUAUUCGUGAAAGUCGAGGAGGUAACAUAGAUUUUUUUUUCUUUUUUAAAAGCUUUGGGUCUGUCUAUAACCAUAUAGGUGUGGGCGCGGAAAGUCAAAAGCUUUGGGCCGGCCCCUCACCCAUUAUGGGCCGAAGUAAGCGCUCCAGGAGAGGCCCGCCUGUUGCAUCUGCAUGCUCUACAAGGAGCAAUUCGAGCUCUACGUGGAGCACCCCUUGAAUGAAACUAGGAAACGCCGAAAAAUGUACUGCAUUUUUGCGAACUUUUUCUUUAAAACUGUGUCCCAAACAUGUCAAUGAUCCCAUGUCAAAGAAAAACCAUGUCCAUUUUCGAAUCCAAUUUUCUUCUCCGAUUUAGUUACCAAAUCACCAAACCAGUACAGGCGCAUGCAGCAAUUUGAGCAAGACCAACUCAGGGUGAUCUAAGCAGCAUCGCGCUUUCGGUUGAGCUCCCCUCACCCCUCAAGCAGCAGGUCCAAGUCCAAAUUGUUUUAUCGACGAGCACAUCAGGUCCCACACUUUUCUCUAUCUGUUGGAAAGACCUAAUCCUUUCGUGACACUAAUAUAUAUACUAGUAUAUUGUUACUACUGGUUCAGACGUCUCGAUCUGACACUUUGGAAACUUGCGAGGCCGUACGACAUGCGCUCAUUGUAUGGAUUGCUAUGGGCGUCCUAGUUUAUCCUCGUUCACAGGACGGACACUCGAGGGUUCAGAGAGAAGCCACCAGCUCUCUGAAUUCUGAACCCUUGUCCACUUUUCCUGAAUCUCCAUUAUUCCUGCUCAUGCUCUGUGUCUAAUUAAUUAAAUGACGACAAAAGGUUAGGUUCGGUUUGGUUCCUUGAGGUGGUUUACUUUAAAUCUGGAAUCAAGAUAUGUGUGAUAUCAUGCAUGUCUAACCAAACCAUUUUGAUUCUGUGUUCGUAUGAUGACGUCUACUAUAUGGAACAGUUUGCCAGCAGAAAUGCAGACAUGCAGAGAGGACACUUCCGGUUCUGAAAUUGAAAGAAAACAACAGUUGAACGCCCUGGACCGGAGCUUGUCGUGAAUUAUAUAUAUCUCUUUUUCUAAAAAACAUAUCUUUCUGAACUUAGCCAAACUUAUUUGACUUUAAAAACAAACAAACUAGAAUGACAGUAUUGUUGUAUAUGGGUAAUGGGUUAGAAAAAAGAACUUCUCAAGCAAGAUAGCAAAGAGAAGUGAUUUUUUUGAGGGGUGAUUUUAAUUAGUUGUAGCCUUGUAGGUAAGGUAACUUAUAGUACUUACAUUUGCACAUGAGCACGGUGAUGAGUCUUUAAUUUUCCUAAACUUGGCUAAUAUAUUUAUCCAAACAGAGAGAGAGAGAGAGAGAGAGAGAGAGAGAGAAUCCAUUGCACUUGCAAUAAACUUUAGUACAUACAAAACUGCAAUGUUUUUUAGUUAGCUAACACGAGCUAGCUGCACUAUGCUACAAAUGGGAAUAUCCAUGCAUGGACUGAUCGAGGACAAGGCAGAACACUGCUGAUUCCGUUGGAGACGAAUAUUACAUACAGUCGCUAUACUGUCUACUACAACUAGCUAGUUUAGUGAGCCAAAUCAUUGCGGGGUCACCUCUGAUUUGAUAGUGUCACUACUAGUGAAUGCAUACCCUAGAGCGGGGACUACUGACUGACCAACGCUCUCCUGAAUCAUACGCAUCACACAUCGCAUCCUAGCUCCUGGAUCGAUCAGAACCAGAACUAACAAAGAUCGCACAUGGGCACGUACGCCCCGCGCCUAGCGAUCGCGGCACUGGUCCUUGGAUCAGAUCAGACGACAACAUUGCCAUUGCAUGCAACAUAUAUGCAUGCAUCUGGCUCAUCAGAUUUUUCGACCGGCCGGCCGGGACCAUACCACUGAAGAUGAUACAGUUUCACCUCCAACAUCUCUUGCCGACGCUCGAUCGCUCUUUUGGCACAACACAAAAGGAGACAGAGGUACGCAGGCAGCCCCAGUAGGUAACAACUGUCGCAACAACUUGCAAGCCGUGGACAUUUUGGACAUGUGAUUUGAUCGACCCACAAGCACACAAUGGAUCCGGUGAGUGCAGGACCUCACACGAGUGGCAUGGUACGCCCGUCGUGGUCUCCUCUCCUUGGUCCUAGUAGGUCGAGCGAGGCAGAGCUGAGUACUAGAACCUAUCAGAGUACUAGAACAUCAUGCAACUGGAAGGGCCGCCAUGUGCCGACCGUAUGAGCACCGUACGCGUGCGUAUGCUGACUGUCCCCUGCUCAAGUCACGCAGCCAUGCGGGUCUUGCCUGUUGGCACGAUCAGAUCGCGGCUAAUGAUGAUCGAAUGGGUAGAUAGCUAGCGUCAGAGUGAGCGUGUACUGGGCGGCGACCAUUCGGCGCCUCUGGUCGCCGGUACGCUUGAGCAUUUCGAGGAGUGCUGUGCAUGCAGUAGUGGUCCUUGCGACGAUGCAAUGCACAGAGCAGAUCGCUGAAGACUCCCAUGUGACCUCAAGACUUCAAGGCUUUCGCACCAUGAGACUAUAGACUCGAUCAGAGAUUCAUCAGAGUGACACUACCUACCUCAGCUGCCAUUGCCAAGCCAAUUACCGCGACGAAAUAAAACGGCAGGGGAAGACCGAGCAACGGGUCACUCGGUCAGCUCGGUUGCCUUGCCGUGCCGAUGCCGCGAAGAAGACAAGCAGCAUCCCGGAACAGGCCCCGGGAGGGCGACCUGCAUGCGUAACUUUUGGUGACGUGAUCGCGCUGGAAACAUACGCAAGUGCUGAUGCUAGGCGCAAGGGGACAGCGGCACAGGACAAGGGCAACCGGACAGGGGUUACAGCGGAGGCCGGAGGGAAGCAUGACGCACCUUUGUGUUGGUUCGUGCAGAAACCGACGCCAAUGCUAAGACAGCGUCAAGCGCCAGCCAUCCGCGAACCACCCAAACCAACUUGCCUUCAAAGAGGCUUUGGAAAUUUUUGUCAUUAUUAUUUCUGGGUAAAUCAGAAUACAUAUAUGUACAUGCACGAUCAUCGAUGCCAAGCUCACUCACGAAGUUACAAACGGAAGACAGACAAAGACGAAUAAGCUACUAAAACAAAGCUCUCUCUCUCUAUGCAGACUAUGUUACACAAACGCCGCAGGCCGGAGCCCUGACAUGAUGGAGGUCGCUCACUUGCCACCGGCGAUGGCGGCGCCGUAGGACCGGCUCCUCCUGACCUCCUCCGGCGGUAUGAAGGCGUCCGGGCCGAGCCCCGGCACGUUGAACGCCACGUCGUCGAUGGUCCACGACUCCUCCAUCCGCGUCACCACGCGCGCGGCGCGGACGCCGACGCCGAACCGGGCGAGGUGCGCCGUGGAGGUGCCGGCGUGCGCGACGGCCACGCCGCCGUCGACGGCGCGGUAGUCCGACACGGUCGACGCGAUGGUGGUCUCCCAGUACAUGGCGGCCGCGCCGGGGGACUGGAUCCGGGUCAGCUGCGAGUCCUCCAGCCGCGCCAGGAGGCCGCUGCGCUGGCUGAAGAAGCCCGUCAGCCCGUGCCGGAUCACCUCCGCGGUGCCGUCGCUCCAGCUCGACAGCACCGAGGGACCCACGUCCAGGCGCAGCACGAAGCAGUCCUCGCCGUCCACCUCCUUCUCGCCGGCGUGCUCGGCCGUCGAGAAGAUGGACGCGAUCGUCACAGGGUCCAGGCCCUGCAUGCACAAAUCACCAAUUUCACUCUACUGUCAGUGAACAUGUAAAUGAUCACAAUUUUUUUGCAAGCUCACUGACAACUUGUAAUAGGAUAGUAGUACAUGUGUGUGCUCGCACAUGGAUCAUGGAUGCAACAAGACCACAGAUGAAAAAUGCAUAUGUCAGCGAAGUCGAGCAGAUAAAAACCUCCUUGACUUGUUGGCGCGCAUGUGUUUGGUGCUUUUAGGACCACCAAUGCUAGCGAAAUUCAGAUGAGCAGAUCAGAUUCUCCAAGAAAAUGGUAAUCUAAAGUGAGGCCAAGUGCAUAUGCUUUCGCUCUCAAUUUUUAUAUCAGAUAGUUCUAUUCUACUAGAGGCAAAUUUCAGAACAUUCAGCUAUUCUCAUAGUCUCUUAGAGGAGUAGAGGACAGUGGAACAUGCAACAGCUAGCAAGUGGGAACUGGCAGUGCAUUCCCAGCAUCAGUGUUUUGGUAAGAACAUGUCAGUACACCAUAAUUUAUUGGCAUGGGACAGAGGACACUGCUGAUAUAAUGAUGCGGUACUGCUAAACAAAGCACCCUUGUUUAAAAUUCUCUGUGAUGGUACAAACAGCUAAGAGCCUCAACAUAUGUGCUGCAUCCGUACAAUCCUCCAGCAUGAGUACUACAUUUUGAAGUAGCUAGGACAUUUGUUAUCUAAUUCUGAAGGUCCUAGUGAAACUUAUAAUGGUACUCCUCAUCAAGAAGUAAAUGAACAAAUUGUAUUAUAUGCCUGUGCUUCCUCAAAGUAGUCCACCAAAAGUCAUAUGCUCAUUUGAGCUGUACUCAUUAUCAAAUUGGCCUACUGGUAUACCCUAAAAAACCAACUCGAAUAAUAAACUAGGGUGUAGGCCACUCAGAUAUAACCUGCUCAGCAGAUUUUUUUAAAAAAAAAAUCGUCUGACCCGGUAAGCAUGAAGAUCUUGAGGAUCAGAGCAUGACCUCGGCCCCCAAGUUUCCUACUGCUACUAUAGCUUUGCUGAAAGACACCUACUGACAGCCUUACAGAGUGUUAAUCGAUCCAACCAAAUAAACACAAAACCUGGGAUUUAUUUCCUUUCAGAGGAUAGGAACACUGGUUCAUGAUAUUCCCAAAAUAAGACAGGCAUAGUCAUGCAGUUUCGUAGGCAGAGGACAUGUAUAUUCUCCUUGCCAAGUUGUCCAGCCAAAACAUAAAAGUAUUUGUUGUCAACUCCCACAAUCACAAUAGCAUAUUAUACUGAUAGUGAUAGUGUAGGCUCAGGAUGAACGUAUAUACUAGUACAAGGGUUCCACUUGCCAAGUUGAUCGGGAUAAGCGUAAUGAUGAACUGAUGAGGCCCAGAGUGAUGAAACCAACAAACAUUCAGAUAUCUCACACUAGGCUGAUGAAGCUCUUUAUAAAAAAGAGCAGCCCACAGACAGAGAUAUUCUUAUUCUAGCACCAUGUGACAGAUGCAGAAUUAAAAGCAGGCUAAUCGCACACCACCUACUGCUGCUAAUGCCAUCUCCCCAGGUCAAACAAAGCCAGUUAGGACUUGGGACUCUCCUACAGAGCUCAAAUGUGAGCUCUAGCAUUGAGCCAUGAGGCAAUCAUGACAUCAACAGUGUGGCAUGCUGCAGAUCCCAAGAUAACAACUGUUUGUGCAGAGGCCAUGUACAUCCAAGUGCUCUUUUCUUAACAAAGAUUCUUCAUCGCAUUCGCAUCGAGUUGUUUAAGGGAUCCUCUGCUCUUCUUUUUCCUCUCAUGGACUGCAAAGCGAAAGGGCGUGCGCAAAAGCAGGAGGCUAUUCGAUGGAUUGGCAUGCGAAAGCAGAGGGAAAGCUAGCAAUGGCGCCAGUGGGGCCCGCGUGUCAUGGACAGGCGUGGGCCAGGCUAACUAGCACAGCAGCAGUAACGGUGUGCAUGCGAGGCAUGCCAUGGUGAUCGGCAAAGCGACGAGAAAAAAGGCGAACGGAAGGGCGGAAAAAAAGGAACAUGGCAUCACGAUGCAAAAACAAACAAAGAGACUAGUGAGUGGUGGGAGCGCGGGCGUGCCAACCUGGAGCGCGCGUCGGAGCGGGCGGGAGCCGCCGCGCGCGGCGUGGGCGCCGAGCCAGGGCGUGCGGCGCCAGGCGACGCGGCCGUCGCUGCCCGCUGCGACGCUCUGCCCGGCCACGGACAUCUCGACGAGCCACAUGCUGGGCGCGAGCUGCCACAACACGAAGCUCCCCUCGUGGCCGCGCCCGCCGCCGCUGCCGAUGACGCCUGACCCCCCGCCGCUGGGAUCCUGCAGCAUGGAGAGGCGCACCCGGCCGGACGCGUACAUGCUCUUGACGGCGCCGUCCUCGAGCUUCCCGCACCCCGUGGUGGCCCUGAACUGCUCGAUGAUGUACUGCGCCGACGACGCCACCUGCUCGUACGGCCAGCCAGCCACAAACACACGCACCCAUCAGGGCCAUCAUUCUAAGCAAAGCAAACGCCGGCGUACACGCAGUAGCUAGCUAGAGGUGCGGGAGGGAGGAGGAAGGUUUUAGGCUUAGGCGGCGCACGUACGUGGCGGGGAAGGCGCGGGAGGACGGGCACGGGGGAGAGCGGGCAGGCGAGCACGGAGAGGAGCACCCGCAGGUCGGCGGCCGGUCGGGCGUCGUCACCUGCCGCGCCCCCGGAGAGGAGUCGCGCCCACCGGUGCAGCGCCGCGUGGAGUCCCGUUCGCCGCCGCGCCGCUUCCUCCUCACCGCCGCCGGGCUCCUCCGCCAGCGGCUCCAGCGCCACCCUCGAUCUCAUCUCGCUCGCUCUCUCUCCUUCCCCUGCUUCCGCGUCAGGCUUGCCGCGCGUGUUUGUUUGCUCCAGCUGUUGCUUGUUCUCGUUAUAAGCGGAGGGCCGGAGGAGGUGAGGGACGGACGGACACGGACACGGACACGGACGCGCACGCAGACGCCAGACCUCAGCGAGGGCGUACGAGUCGCCUAACGGUGGGCUUGACUGACCCGUGGGGCCACGGCACCGGUGGUGGUCCGCGCGUCAGUGGGAGCGUUCGGCCCCGGCGCGCGUGUGGAGUGCCGCGAAAGGCAGGGGGAGGAGCGUGAGCGUCCAAGGGAAGAGAAGGGAGGCACCAAGGAAGGAAGGAAACGGGGUGGGCUGGGGAGGUUGGGGAGCGGUCAAAAUCUCGCGCGCUCACGCCGUCGCGCUGGUGGACUGGUGGUGGUGGUGGUGGCGGCGUUGUUGGUGGCCGGCGGCGUGCGUUGCAGCUGAGCUGACCUCAGCGGCCGCCUCGCUCCUGGCCUGGGCUGGGCGUGCUUCCCAGCCAAGUCAAGACUCCUGUCGUCCCCCUCCAACGCCUAGCUGGUCGCCCAGCUAACCCAGCAUCGUUAAGCUCCAUUGACGAAUCACUGCUGCUGCUUUGAGCCGCGUGACGAAUUUCUUACCGGAACCGAACCGUUCCCUGUGCCGUGGAAGUUGUUCCACUCCGUUCCAAGCAGAGCGUGCCGUUAGGCUGCGCAUGCUUGCUUACGGCUGCCAUUGCUGGCACGCGUAGCCAAACAGCCAUAGCUAGGCUGCUACUGUGUACUGAGCAACAGUUUUGCCGUCUCGUUCGCUAUCGCGGUCGAGGUCGAGGUCGAGGUCGAGUAGCGCGCACGUUUGAUCUGAUCUGAGGCCGACGUGUGCUGGAGGCUUUAUUUCCGUUCUGGGGACAGGGGGGAUUCGAUUCCGUUGAUGUGGCCGGCCGGGGGUGCUCUCUCGUCUCGUCUCGUCUCGCUCGGACGCUCGCGCUCCUGGACCUGGUGGAUGGGGCAUGGCCCAUGGCCGAGCUGCUUGCAUUGCAUUGCAUGCCUCAUGUCAGUACAGUGGGUACGUGGGUGGAGUUGCAGUUGCCGUUAGCCGGCGGCCGCAAGCUAGCAUCGAUGGCGAGGCGCUUUCGGCUGCACGACGGCGGGACGCGACGGCGACUCGGCAACCCGUGCAAGCAAAUGCAAAUGCAAAUGCACGCGCGCGCGGUGGGGAUCGGAUCGGACUCGGCUGCUGAGAGAGACGCAUUUGUUGAUGGAUGGAUGGAUGGGGGCGGCCGCUGCAACGACGGAGCGAGGGCGACGCGGCACCAAACCGGCAGACGAGAGAUUUCUUUGGCUUGCCCGGCAUACCUUGGCUUCUUCAUCAAUGCGGCGAGGCUACGAUCCAAGCUUCUAAGGCGAUUCAUCUUUUGUUGUUUUUUUACUCAGUUCCUUGUGCCUUUUUUGUUUUUGGUACUCCAGUAUGUGAAUGCGCACGGAAAACAACACGGGAUCAGGCUGAGUACACUUGAAGGGUUUCCCUGCCGCGUUUCUUGUUACUGAUGAUGAUCUGCUCCUUAACUCUGAAUAAUAAUCUGUCCAAAUAACUUGUGUUUAGCAAUAAUCUACCUGUCCCUGUCACUGUCAGGAGCAGAGACAAGAACUGAUGAAAACCUGCCUGUCAUAUUCAGCAGGGUAUUGAAUGAUCCUGUGCGGCGUGGGGGUCUCUCGGUCUCGGUCCCUCCCUACCUCGCUGACGAGUCAUAUCUCGCUUUAAAUCCCGCUGCCUCUUCCUGAAUACCCGAUGAUUUCCCUGAAUUCCAGCAAUGACAAGUGUACGAAUUCAGUGGGACGUACUACGUGCUGCUCUGCUGCACAGCACAGGGGUGAGAGGCCUGAGAUAAUGGUUGCGUGCUUUAUUGCUGGGCUCAGGUGCCGAGCAUUGCCCAAGCAGUAAGCAGAGCAGUGACCAUCAGGUCUGGGUCUGAUAGCAGGUCAAAUGUUCAUAGCAAAAACUAAGCUUUCCCGUGUCUGUUGGUUUGAAGAAAAAAAACAGAAACUUCUGUCUCGGCGGUCAGAUUCAGCUACCCAAAAUGAACUACUAAGUAUUUGAUUAGAUCCUAAUCUAAUGUAGGGUCUCAUGAAAUGAGUAGUCAAUUAACCUGCUUCAGACUUACUACUCCUAUACGACAACUACAAGGAUGGCUGACAACGAUGUAUUCAGCUACUUGCAUUGUGCACCAAGCAAGCAAGUUCGUAGUGGACGCAGAAUAUCAGUUUCCGUGUUACUGUCAGAAUGAUGGCGCCGGUAGCUGCUGCUGCUGCCUGGCCUGAUCAACCACUGAAGUGACAUAACGAAAUUACAACAGGCAUGGGCCUUGUUUAGUUCUCAAAAAAAUUUGCAAAAUUUUUCAGAUUUUCCGUCACAUCUAAUCUUUAGACACAUGCAUGAAGUAUUAAAUAUAGAUAAAAAUAAAAACUAAUUACACAGUUUGGUCGAAAUUGACGAGACGAAUCUUUUGAGCUUAGUUAGUCCAUGAUUGGAUAAUAUUUGUCAAAUACAAACGAAAAAGCUACAGUGUCGAUUUUGCAAAAUAUUUUGGAACUAAACAAGGCCAUGGUGUGCCUGUUCCAAUGUUCCUAGCAGGCGGCGACAUCGAUCGAUCGGACCACGAUUCGUUGCAGUUCAAUGCAAGUCCAUCACGAACUGACACGGAGGAGAACAUGUCCCUUUCAUGCAUUGCAACUUUGAGCGCUGUUUGGCAGAAGCUGGAGAAGACCACGGAGGAUGUCCGUUUGGUUAUACAGCUUCAUGGUUGGUUAUACAGCGAUCCUAGGCGUCUGAUUUUAGAUGUUCGAGGUUAGAUCGAGCUGCGUGGAAGUUCAGAUCGCGAAGCAAACAAUCCUGUAACGCGUGAGUGUCAACAUUGCAUGAGCCAACCGGAUAUGAACUCAUUUGAUGUUGCUGUAUUUUUUAGAGGCAAAAAACAUUAUUUGACACGUUCUGGUGAUCUUGGCUAUGUUUUAUGACAAGAAUGAUCUUUAGUAACUUUGAGUGUGUGAUGGUAACUCUUAUUGACAAUAUGUUGGUUUAGGUUGUCGUGGUGUACUUUUCUUGUCGUCACCGUUUUAAGCUAUCUGAUUUGGAGGGGGCGAAAAACCGCUGUCACAUUUGCCGACCUAUUCCUCCAGAAGAAACACAGGCACAAAGCUGACAGAGAUGGGGGGAAAUGGAUGGGACAAAUCACGUUUUAUUUGUUUUUUCUAUUUCCGUGUGGCGCGCAGGAAAGGGAUAGAUGGAGUUCACUACGGAUUAGCGGAAACGGUCAAACGGGAGAGGAGAGAGCCAGUAUCUGGCCCGUUUUGUGUGAUCUAUGUGGUCACACGGAGAACAUCCAUAUUUGUCCCAUUUUAGAUAGGCCGCCAAGCCCAGUAAGACCCAAAAGAAAAGGAAGAAGAAAAAACUUGUGAUGAUAGACAGGUUGAGAACUAAGAGCAAACAUGAGCUUGCAAACUUCUUUUUCGUCCACAAUAUACACUUACCCCUAUAAAUAUAUGUACGUAAAUCCAACCAUAUAAACACUUUUAAAGAAUUGAGCCAACAAAUUCGCGAAAUCACCACAUAGGCACCUCGCUGUCAAUGUUUUAGCUCUCUGGAAUAUCAAUGUGGUCUAACUUUCCUAUUUGAGUUUCCAAACCAGACGUCACAUCUUUUAGACUCUCAAAAUCUUUCAAAUUGCUUGGUUUAUAAAACAUGAAAACAUGUCGAAGCUUAUAGGGACUCUGACAAAAAUGCUAGACUUACAUUACAUAUAAAAUCCAAAUUGAAUAUUUAGAUCGUCUCUAGAGAAGCUUAAAAAAUAGUUUUGUAUAUAGAAAAAAGGGAAAUAUUAAAAAAUAGAAAAUUCCAAAAUGUAAUUAUUCACGUCGUCCAAUGCAUUUUGAAAACAUUUCACAACAAAAACAUAAGACACAACUAGCACGAAUGCAUACCAUGAAUGCAUUCAUACUAUUUAUAUCUCAAAUUUUCACAAUACAAAGUUUCUAAAAAGCGUUUACACGUCAAUUUAGUUUGGGAGUUUUCAAGAAUUUUUUAUAUUUUCUCUGUUUCUAUCUGAAUCUACUUUUAAGCUCCUAGAGUUUUUUACAUGCUCUAAAUUUUUUAGCCAGGUUUGUUAGGAUUUUCUCGUACUUUUUAGAAGCUUUAAAGAUAUUUUUCAUGUUUUAAAAAUCUUAUCAAGUAUUGUCGGUGUUUAAUGACCGGUAAGACGUCAUGGGGUUACCUGGAACACUAUUUGAUGGGUUUCGGUGUAUGCAAAACUUGGCGGUGAACACAAAGAUACGAUUUAUGCUAAUCUAGUUAGAUGUUCCUUGGUCACUUGGCUGAAAAUUCAUGACAUAAAGUACUAUUCGCUGAUUUGUUGUGAUACUGUUGAAUAGUAGGCAGAUUCGGCUGAUAAGAUUAAACGUUGUGUUGGAUUGUUGUGUAUGAUGAUUACAGGGGGUGCUCUGCCCAUCAACACUUCAUUGGAGUGCUGUAAAAUGCCUCCUCCGGUAUCUAGUUGGCACUCUUGACUAAGGUCUCUUGCUCUGUAAUAAUUCUCCUUGCACUCUUCACGCAUUUGCAGAUGCCGUUUGAGCCGGUGAUCCUAAUGAUCGAACUUCUACUUCAGCUUAUGUGUUUUCCUUGGAGCCAAUUCUAUCUCUUGGAGUCUUCUGCCCCUCAGAGAGUAGACACAUUGAUUUAGUCUUAGCCGGACACCAUAGAAGAGUUCUAGUUCUAUUAUAGAAGCUAUCUUUCCUAGAAUUUGACUAGGUCGAUCUUUCUUAGCUUGGAGUAUACGUCACAUUGUAUUGUGACCUCAAACAGAUCAUAGGCCGGCCCAAGCCCCUGAGCAGGACCAGUGGGAACCCUUAGGAUCAAGUCUAAUUUUACUAGAUUUUUAUAUUAUCUAAAAAAAUACCCAUGCCUUCAAGAUCACUUCAAUUCAGUACCAAGAGGUAAUUUGAACAUUUUUAGAAUUCAGAAAGUAAGAUGUCUGGUUUUGAUUUUUGAGGAUGAAAAAUCAAAUCAUGGUUAUGGUUUGGCUGUGAAAUAGACCAUGGAAAAUGAUUUUUUUUCGAAGAGACCAUGGAAAAUGAAUUGUUAAGGAUUGAGGUGAAAAAUAACUCAUGGGUGAAUUGUAGUGCAGUGUAACAAGGCGUCCUUCCCGGACAGGCCACUGGACCCCGGAAACGGUACAUAUAUGCAAACUUGAGUUAACCACCGGCAGCGCCAUGCGUGGUGUGCGAGGUAGCUAGAUGCUAGCUGCCGUGAUGGCGUGGUUCAUGCACGGGCGCAGUGGUGGACAAGAUUAGAUGUUCACGGGGCGGACGGCGGAUGCAGCUUGUGUGCUAUAUCUGGGUUUUUUUUUUUUCAGCGCAGCUGCGAGGGGAAAAUAGAAAUAAGGAGGGAGCAUCAUGGAUCAGGAUCAUAGCUAUGCUUUGCGAAGUGCAGGAGGCGGAGAAGAUGACUCAAGAAGAUGAAGUCUCGUCUAAAGUUCAAGAAUGUGAUUAUGUGACUCGAUCUACGUACGCAGCGCAGUCACCUUUGAGCCAUCGUAAAUUCGGAAGCAUGGAUGCCAAGUUAUGCCACCGCAUGUGGGGUGUUCGGUGGAAUGCCCAUGAGGUAAACUGCUUGCUAAUAUAAUUUUGCUGGGUUAGUGUGGUAGCUCGUUUCACCUCGGCGUGUGUGCCGAUCAUCGGGGUCACGGUGUUGGAACUAUUCUUAUGCUGGCCAUCAAGUGCCAAGGGAAACGCUUAGCAAUUGCAAGUUAGCAACAAAUGCUACUAUUAUUGUUCUUCCUGUGGUGAUAGUCAUUAGGCAAUAUCAGUUCUGCGCUUCUAGUUAUACACACGUCGUGUUUCUUAACUGCUGUCUAAUUUUAACAACACUAAAUAGUAUGCCAUCUUCCCUUUUUUUUCCCCUGAGAACAUUCAGGCACCUCAAACCUUGAUUUGUUAUUUUUGGGGCGAAGACACCAUCGCCGUGUUUUCCCCACUUGCCUCUGUUGCGUGGUCAUUAGCCAUUCACCACUUAUGCUUGGUUCCUAAAUCUACUCCCGUUUGCCCUGCAAAAUUUGCUGUUCUUUUCAUCUUUCUGCCUCGCAGACCUGUUGUCAAGAGGUCGUAUUGGAUGGAUGGCGCAAGAAACUUGAAGGUAGAGAUAAAGCUCACUGUUGUUCGAUUUCCACUUCUUGGUCUUUUCUUUUCCCGGGAACACUUAUGCACAGAUUUCUUGGUCUCUUCUUUCCUCCCCUCUACUUUCUUUCCCCCUUUUUUUUCUUCCUUUUAACGAACUUUCUUUACCCUCUCCUUGGCAUCUUACAAGAGAUAUUACACGGGGCUUUUCAAUUAUAAUUGACAUGCCUCGGUAAAAUUGUGAAUAGCUAAGGAAAUUCAUGAAUCUGUUUCUAAUGUGCUUUCCAAUUUAAAGGUCCUACAUUUUAUAUCCUUUGAUUUGAUUUUCCUUCUUGGCAAAGGUUGUCAAUGCAAUCAUAAAGAACUUGUGAAAAGAUUCGGAUGAGGAAGAAAAGCAGCAAGGCAUAUCAGAGAAAACGCUAGGUAAAGGGGUGAACAAAGAAAACCGUCACAUAAUACAGUUUAAUCAGGAAAAUGGGGCUGUCAAUCUCAUACCCACCAGAUGACUACCUGCCUGAGGAUGACGAUGAUGGUAUGGACAGGCUCUUUGUGCGGUCUCUAAGCUUUGAUAAUCUCAGUACACUUGAGACCCUUGAAUCGCCACCAGCAUUGCUUGACGCACUGACUUCCAAGAGACUCAUUGUAAGAGGCUCUUUAAGCUUUGAAAAAAGGGAGGGUGAUCCAUUUCAAGUUGAAACUACACUGUCGAUGGUGAGUCCUAAACCUGCAAAGAAGAGUUACAACUACAAGCCUAUCAUCCUGCCAAGAUAUAGGUCCACGGAGAACCUACCACCAAAUUCUCCGGUAAUUGGGAUGGUCAGCCCAGUGCACCAGGCUGCAGCAAUAAGAGUGCAGAAGGUGUACAAGAGCUUCAGAACAAGGCGGCAGCUUGCUGAUUGUGCUGUUCUUGUUGAACAACGCUGGUUUGUAAAAUUCCUUGUGUUAACCAGGCAUUUUCAUACGUAAUAUAGUGUGAUUCUGACACUGGGGAAACGUCACUGAAUUUCGUGAAUUGUAUGCUAAAUCCAGGUGGAAACUACUUGAUUUUGCAUUGCUCAAGCGCAAUUCAGUGUCAUUUUUUGAUGUACAGAAGCCUGAGUCGGCCCUCUCGAGGUGGUCUCGUGCCAGAAUGAGAGCUGCCAAGGUGAACUCAUGUGUUUACAGAUUAUGCUACUUAACCAUUAUUUUGAGCUUGGAACUUAGAAUUUAUAGCGUAGUUGUGUGCUUUAGUAUUAUGGUCCAACUAUACUGGUUCUUCACAAUAUUGUGAUCUUUUUUUUCAUUAAUUAUUUUGAUAAUAUUGUGAACUUGAUAAACUGAACAAGUCCAAAUAAUUUUAUUCUCUGUUAUUGUUAAGUUUGGUCUGGUAGUUUUUUUUAUUCCUAACCGUUAAUGUGCCAACAGCCCAUUGCUACUAUGAAGCUGUAUGCUCAACUGCUGAAACGGUGUAGUCUGAUUUCCAAAGGACUAUUGUCAUAUCUUUGUUGUAGUACGAUUGAAUACUGAAUUCGUAUCUGGUGUUUUUCUGUUUUUGCUUAGGUAGGAAAAGGUCUUUCCAAGGAUGAAAAGGCUCAGAAGCUAGCACUGCAACACUGGCUUGAAGCAGUACGCAUGAAAACAAUUUCUUUCAAACACUAACUGACGAAAGAACAUCACAAAACAUUCAUGUUUCAUGGGCAGAUUGACCCUCGACAUCGGUAUGGCCACAACCUCCACUACUACUACCAAUAUUGGCUACACUGUGAGAGCAAACAGCCUUUCUUUUACUGGUAUAGUUCUCGUGAAACUUUUAAAGCUAUCUCCAAACCAGCUGAGAAAAGUAGUACAAAGUUCUCUGAAAUCACGUUUUAAUAGGUUGGAUAUAGGUGAAGGAAAGGAGGUUAAUAUUGAUGACCACUGUCCAAGAUGGAAGCUGCUGCAGCAAUGCAUCAGGUAUCUUGGCCCGGUUAGUGCUCCAACCCUCACAGCAAUGGAUAUAAAAUCUCAGAGCAGAAAAGGCUUCGUAUCUGAAACCGUAGAUGAUUUGCUACUUUGUGCAGAAAGAAAGGGAGUCCUAUGAGGUCGUGGUUGAGGAUGGAAAGAUGAUGUACAAGCUGAGCAACAAAAUCGUCGACACAUCCGAAGGCCCCAGGGAUGCAAAAUGGAUCUUUGUGCUGAGCACAACGAGAGUUCUAUACAUCGGUACGGUAUGUCAAACCACACCAGUACACCACCUUCAAACCUUAAGCAGAGAGUAGAGCUGGCCUCUGACAGAUGAAAAAUAAUCACAUUGUUGCAGAAGAGCAAGGGCACAUUUCAGCAUUCCAGCUUCCUCGCCGGUGGAGCCACAUCUGCUGCUGGCAGACUGAUUGUCGAGAAUGGGAUUCUAAGGGUGCAUAUAUAGAUCAACACUUGUCUACCAGCCUCGUAAUAGUGUGUUACUUUUACAGCGCCCCGGUCACCUGUCUGAUUCAGUUUAGUAUCUUUCAGGCUGUCUGGCCACAUAGUGGGCACUACCGCCCCACGGAGGCCAACUUUCGCGAGUUCAUGAACUACCUGAAGAAUAGGAACGUGGAUCUUACAAAUGUCAAGGUGAAGAAGCAAAUCAGAGUGCUAUACCAUCUUAGCCCAGGAACAAAAACCUACUUACAUUGUCCAUUUUUUUUCUGACACAAGAACAUCUUUUGGCGGUUGUUUUUCUACAGUUGAGCCCAUCAGAAGGUGAGGAGGACGAGUGGUUCAGGCAAAGGGGUAGCCUUUCCCAGCUGAAGCACACGGAGAGCAGCAAUCCCGCAAGUGAAGAAGACUCCUCCAAAUUUUUCCAAAAAGAAGACUCCUCCAAGCCUCGCCCCCCUGGCGCUGGCGCUGACAAAGACAAGGCCACUGCAAAGGCCACUCCAGGCACGCCAUCAUCCACGAGCCAUGAUAAAACAACAACAACCAGCACGGCGACAUCAGGCACGCCGGCCAUGAAGAGGUCGUCGUCGGGCAGCCGGCUGCAGCGCAAGCGGCCUCCACGUCUGGCAGUGAGCAAGAGCCGGCUGGGCAAGGGCAGCGGGGAGCAGGGCGCGGGCGCCUUCGGGGACUGCCUGGACUUCUGCAAGGAGAACCUGUUCCUGGGCGGCGACGGCGGCGACGGCGAGGAGCUGGUGGUGGUGCCGCAGGAGAAGAUCCUGCACCGCAUCAACUCCAAGAUGAGCCUGCACUCGUACCAGCUCGGGAACCAGCUCUCGUUCCGCUGGACCACCGGCGCCGGGCCCAGGAUCGGGUGCGUCAGGGACUACCCGCCGGAGCUGCAGUUCCGGUCGCUGGAGCAGGUCAGCCUGUCUCCGCGGGGUGGCGCCGGCCCGCCCAGGCUCGGCACGACUCCCCGGCAGAGCCCGUGCGCACCGCUCGUGCCGUCGACGCCCGGAGGCCUCGUGUCGCCGCUGUACGGUCACGGUGGAGCCGGGACACCUGCGCCCUAAGUUGCACGGAUACGGAUACGUGUAUCAGUAUCCGAACGAUACGGAUACGCGGAUACGGCAAUUUCCUAAAAAACCCGAUACGUGGAUACGUUUACUAUUUUAAAAAAUAAAAUAAUAAUAAUAAUAAUAAUGCAGUUCUGAAUUUAAAACUAAUAACAAUAAAAUGUCACAAUAAACUACUUAAAGUACAGGUCUAAAGUCUCAUCAACUCUCAGAUAUAGUAGUCUCAAACUUAGAAAAUAAUAAUAAGGCAUUCAGGCUUGCGAUUCAUGCUGCAGCAGGUUUCUAUUCCUCAUUUGUUUCAUUGUCAUCCACAAUAUCAACCGGUGGCUCAUCCAGACCAAAAGACACUGCUUGCAGUUCAGGUUCAUCAAGGGACAGAUCCUACGCUGGGACUACCACUUGCACUAGCACUGCUCAUAUUUGGAGAUGCCAUCUACUGCAAUCAAGCAACAAGAACUCACUAACUGCACUGCAGAUCUAGAAUGGGGAGAGGAAGACUAGGCUACGAACUGAAGAAGAAGAGAUCGAGAAGAGAACAGAGAAGAGGAUGAACUCACAAGAGUUCCCUGGAUCCACGUCGCAGGGGAGGAAACUUGUUGCCGGCGGCCGGCGAGCGGAGGCGGAGGCUCGUCGCCGGUGGCCGGCGCUGGCGGGCAGCGAGCAAGGGAUGCGUCGUCGCCGUAUGGGGAUGCGGCGCGAGGCACAGCAUGCGGGAGUGCGGGACAGCGCGAGUUCCAGGUUAGGGCGUCGGAGACAGGCAUAUGUGCCAUGUGUUUUUGGGCUGGGCCGUAUCCACAAGGCUGAUACGUAUCAGCCCACGUAUCCAAUUUUUGUAAAAAUAAUAAAAAAAUCAGAUACUUCUAGGAUACGUAUCCAUGGCGUAUCGGACACGUACCGUAUCCGAUACGUAUCGGAUACGCGAUACGCGGCUUCCUGCAAGUAUGCGUGUAACGUAGCCUGCGCCGCGGCUGCAACACGGUGCGGCCUAGAGCUCUGGCACGUUAACAAGCAUAGGGGCGAAGUUUUUUCUCUUGCUGAAAAGCAAGGACAAAGGUUUCAAAUAAAACACAUGGACGAGUGGUUAAACACAAAGAAAAAAGCUCAUUAUUUUAAAUACUACAUAGGCAUAUAUGUAUAGAGUAAUUGUGAAAAAAAAUGAUUUUCAGGAGUUUAAAGUAUGGCGUGAAAACACUUUUACAUAUAUAUCGAUUAUUGCCGUGGGUGUUGAAAAUAUCCUGUAUUUACUGAAAACACUUUUACAUAUAUAUCGAUCAUUGCCUAAAAAAACAUACAUAUCGAUUAGUACUGUAAAAGUGUUUUCAGUGCACCCAAGACUCCAAGAGGCUAAUAUAUCACUGAAGCUUUCACUCUUUCAUGCAUGGAUCACGAACAUUUGUUGAGCAAAUUACAUUCUAUAAUCAGCUUGCAGCAACACCCACGACACAUAUAAAAUUCUCAUUUUCGAUCGUGCCCUUGUGGAAGUUCAAGUGAAUUGCAAGUGUGCUGUGUUCAAAUGCAUGCACCACUACACUGACGUGUGUUAUAACCUAAUUUUCAACGCAUUUAUAUUUUGGAAAUGUAAUAUCAUCAUGGAUUUGAGAAAUACGGAGUAAAUACAGGAUAUUUUCAAGCCAAACACAGGAUCAUGAGAAAACACGUGGGAUGAAGCCUCUCUUAUUUCCGUUCCCGUUCCCGUCACUUUUGAUUCGGCUCCGGUCCUGUUUUUGAAAUUUUUAAAAAAUACGAAAAUAGAUAGGUCAAAUAUAGAAAAACGAACGGAUCUAUCGUGAUAAUUUCCAUUUGUUUUUAACCCAACUUAGCAGGCAUACCCACUCUCCAUGCUUUGCUCAUUAUGGUCUUAUGGAUGAACUAGGCUAGCAAGUGGCUACUAGGCGGGGUCUUGGACAUUACUUUCUUUGUCUACGAAAGAGUCAAUUUUUUUUAUUAAAGUGCAAUUAUUACAUGCUUCAAACACCUUUUUAGUAGCAUUGGCUUGCAGGUUUCACGACGAAGACGAGUAUAGGGUUAUUCAGCAGGGCCUUGUUUAGUUCGUGAAGUUUUUUUAGUUUGACUACUGGCAGUUUCGUUUAUAUUUGGUAACUAUUAUCUAACUAUGGACUAACUAGGCUUGAAAGAUUCAUCUCGUAAAUUACAAAUAAAUUAUGCAAUUAGUUUAUUUUUAAUCUAUAUUUAAUGUUUCAUGCAUGUGUUCAAAGAUUUGAUGUGACAGGGAAUAAAAAAAAAGAAACUAAACAAGGCCCAAGUACUUUUAACAAAGGAUCCACUGAAUAAAGGGUGAAGAUCGUAACCUUUUUAUCACGAUACAAGUCUAAAAACAUACCCUUAUAUCAUGGUAAGUGGAGCCGAGGGGGGCUAACCCCCCCUACACACACAGUGAAACAUUUGUAACACCCUAUGUCAAUUGCAUGGUACAAAAAACUAUCAUUUCACCUAUUCUUUUAUAAUAUUAUGAUUUCUCAUUAUGAAUACUUAAUACAUAUAAAAACAUUAAAAAUAUUAGGAUAUAUACUUGAUGUAUAUAUCUUGAGAUGUUAUGACUCUCUGAAAAGUUAAACUAAUUUGAGAUGAAGAGAAUUAUAUUUUUAAGCAAAUGGCCAAAUAGAACUCUCAGUUCCCGUUCGAUAACAAUAAUAGUGUCAAUAUCUCUACUAUUUCUCUUAUUUUGGAACCACUAGCGAAACUAGUAUUGAUAUGGAGGAGAAAAGACAGUAGAGCUUAACUCUCGUGCAAGCAACAAGUUAGACAAGUACAAUAAUUGGCCCAAUAAUUGGAACCAGUAGAGAAAUACUAUGGGCUCUAUUAUUGACUUUGCUCUUACAGUUUUAUAGAUAUACAAUUAGAUGACUUAGAUGUUAUUUAAUGAGAUUAAAAUUCUCAUGAAACUUGCAGUUGCACUGAUUGCGAUGUCAAAAUGGUCAAAUUGUACUCUUGUUUUUUUACAUAUUAGUAUGUUAGUUUUAUCCUAAGUCAAAUAUUAUUAUCUUUGAACAUUUAUUUUAAUGAUUCUUGGAUGAGUUUUAUGAGCAUUAAAUAAGUGUGAUAUAACAUUAAGUGAAAUUUGCUAAAAGUUUAAUGAGUUGAAAUGGGAUUCAUGACAAUGAAACUUAUCUACGUUGUUUCCAACAUGGGAGUUAUAUCUUGAAUACGCUCUAGAGAGCCAUCUCGCCGUCCAUAGAAAUUUUGCAAAAUUUACUCUCUAAAUCAUUAAUUAGAGUUAAUCGUUUUCUAUAUCAUUAUACCUCAGACAACUUUUCUAUAUCUUGUUUGCAGAGUCAUCCUCGGUCUCCAUAGAAAUAUCUGAUUCAAUCAACAGGUUCUGAAAAAACAUACAGAUAAAAUGACCUAACAACCAUCUAAGUGAUCACCAGAACAAGAUCCUUUGGUGAAGCACUACGACCAUCAUCAAGCAAAUAUCGAGAUUAAGAUAGCCACCACCAUGACUAUCAGACUAUGACAAAACCACAUAGACGACCAUACUACCAAGCAUAAACCCUGGGAUUCAGCUAGUAUUCAAUCCAUGCAUCGAUUGAGCUAAUACAGCAAAGAAUAUCCAUGUCUCAGCACAAGUGCACUUUCAACCUGGAUCAUAAAACCAAAUUGCAACAUUAUCACCAGGCUCACUAAUCAUAAGGCAGGUGUUCUCACACCAAGUUCAAUAAACAUAGCUCAAAUUCGCCGAGAUCCAACUUCAUACAAGAACCACCAGGACACACAACCACCUCAGCGCAGCCUCCUGGCCUCCCUCUCAGACUCGAGCAGGGUGAGGAUGUCACCCUCGCGAACUGGGC